GCUUGGCCUAGAACCACCUUCCUAGCCCAGCGCAUGCAAGACCGAGGCAGGGCGUCUGUAUUCGGGGCAUGCAUCACGCGGGGCGGGGCCUGCGGUGAGGCCAGUGUGGCAUUUCCCCUGACCUCCACCAAAGCAGAGCAGCGUCUGACAGCACAGAAAGGGCAUCCCAAAAAGACAUAGGAAAACAGGACCAAAUUGUGAAAAAGAAAGGCAUUGUAUACGAAUUAGCUGGGGAAGUCAUCCCCAUUUUCCCUUUCUUCUUCCAGGAGUUUUAUUUACUCGUUUAUUGAUUUGGGAAGUCGCUCUAGCCCGGAGUGAGCCGGCGGCUGUGUCCCGUGCUCUCUGUGCGGCCGCGUCCCUGUGCUUCAUGCUGAUGAAUGAACUUGCGCAGAACCCUCUAAGCUGUCUGGCGCCCCCUUGCCCACUGUCCCCGGUCUUGCUUUCCCUGCGGGGCCUCCUCUCCUGGGAAACCCGGGCCUCGUCCAGCCCAGAGGCCAUUGAGCAGCGGCCAGGGCUGGCUCCGGGGUCCGGGAAAGCCUUGGUGGGAACUGUGAUGUUGUGAUUGUUUCUUUGUUUCUGUGUGUGUUUAAUUUGCUGCCAGCUGUUUCACCCCCAAGCAAGCAGCACCCCUGAAACCACCUGCAUUCCUGGGGGUGGGGCACUGUGAGCAGCAAGGCUCAGGGGCUUUUGCCAGCAGCCUUGGCCCAGCCUCUCCCUCGUGGAGCAGGAGAGACAAGAGCACGGGCCGGCCGACGGGUGCCUGCUCUUGCCGCUGCAGGCUGUGUUGCUGCUCAAGGAGUGUACAGGAGGGUGUCAUACCCACCCUCAGCCCAACAACCUGUCCACCAGUCAGUGAGCUUCUCCUGGAAGGGGCCCCGGGGGAUGCCUGGGGCUGCAGUGGCCCAGCUUGUCUCGCGCAGGUCUGCCCUAGGAGCCUGGUGUGCCUGUUUUGGGAAGACCCCCUUCCUGGGGUUGCCUGCCCCACCUGCCCCGCCUCAGGACUCCCUCCUGCACCUGCCCAUCAGCAGCCUUGCCUCCCCUCAGCUAAGUCCCUCUCAGGCCCUUUGGAGUCUGCCCUUUUUUUUAAGUUGGAUUUUUUCCUUUAUUUUCGUUUUGUCAUUAUUAUUAUUAUUAUUUGCCAUAGUAAAAAAAAUCAGAAAUUCAUUGCCAGUUGCCAGCAUGAGGGUUGAACCCAGGGCUUCUCAACCUCGGCUUGAUUGACAUUUUGGGCCAAGUGACUCCUUGCUGGGCGGCCAUCCCGGGCUUGGCAAGAUGUUUACCCUCAUUCCUGGCCUCUACUACUGGUUGCCGGUAAUAUCUUCCCUGUCAUGACAGUCACUGAUGUCUCCAGAAAUUGCCAGGUGUCCCCUGGGGGGCAGAAUCACCCCUGGUUGAGAACCACUGGUUUUCCCAGUGGCCUUGUGAAACACAGCUAAAUGUCACUGGACUGCUUUGGGCCUCUGCAGGCUGUGGGCCGGGACCUCUGUUUGAGUUUGUGCAGUGUGGUGGGCCCUGCCCUCUCCCUCCCCUGACGAAGCUGUCCAGCCCCUCUCAGGCAGCAGCGGUUCUGCCAGAACCGAGGCCCUUGAGCCCCAUCCACCCCAGGGCCCAGAGGUCAGGACCCCAGCCGUCCACCCUCUACCAGAGCUUGGGGGUUGGACAGCCACGUGCCGGGCCCACGUUCAUGUGAGGGGUGAGCCCAGGGCCAGCUGCUUUCAUGUAGUGUGACGAUUGCUGUUGUCAUUUAGGAAUUCUGAGCUCAGAAGGACAAUAGGGACUGAGACCCCGCCCUGGGCCUACCAUUGAAACAAAAGCAGGAACAGAUCUCAGAGACCCCCCUGUACCCAGAAAAGUUUGGGGGUGAAGUGAGGUGGGGUUUGAGUCCAGGCAGCUGCCGAGACCCCAGGCUGGGGACAGGCCCCCUGUGAUCUCCCAUCGGGACAGGUGGGUGCUAGCAGCCUUCCUGGGGAGGGGCAGGGCUGGCAGCGGGAGAGGUCAGAUGUCAUGCUCUGGACCAGGUCGGGGCUGCAAGCUCCCCAGCGGCAGCAUGGCCCCACCUCACUCACCACAGCCCUCACAGCACUGAGCCCGAAACACCACGAUGAGCUUGUGGAAGAGGCAGGCCCGCAGGACAGUGUCCCCUCCAUGGUUGGCACGUCACUGCUCCCAAAGCAGGAAACCCUGGGAGCAGCUGUCCCAGGUCUGCACUCGACAUCCAUCCAGGAGAGGACAUACCACAGACAUGAAGCCAGGGGACUGAUGAAGUAGCCGUAGAUGGUGCCCGAAGGAACCCAUCCUCAGGAGCCUCCAGAAGCCUCUAUCAUGCCAAGGGUUAGAGGGAAGGGGGCUAGCACCGGCCACACCGCAGUGCAUUGCCUGGUGUCUCAGGCCUGGUCUUCCUUGAGCCAAGACUCCCCACCUGGUCCUCAUUCCAGUGGCACAAGAGCCCUGCUGACCCGAGACCAAGGACCCAGCAAGGACUGUGGGAACAGGGAUCAACCGAGUGGUGGUGGACAUUGACCAGUGGCCCCCAGUGGCCCUCCUGCCCCUCCCUGGCCAAGCUGCCCAGCUCUGAGUCCUUACGGAGAGGACCUGCCUGCAACAGUCUCCGUGUCCUGUUCCAGGGGAGCAGUGACAGCCAGCAGUGGUGGGCGGACAGAGCAGCACCCCUGCCAUGUGUGAAGCGGGCCAGGGCCCAGAGAGGGUGGUGCUUCCUCUUGCCCUGGCCACAUCCCUCCCCACCAUGUCAGGCCCAGCAGAGAACAUGGUGCAGCACGCAGAUGCCAGAGUCAGACAGCCUGAGCUCAUCCCCCACCUCCGCCUGUCCUCUCUAGCUCUCAGACCCUGUGGGCCUGUUUCCCCAGCUGCAGCGAGGGAGUCAGCGCAUGGAAAGCCUUUCAGGCGUGCCAGGCUCAGGCAGCGCUGGCCAAGUGUGCGUAGCUAUCAUUUCUGUUGUGGUCAUUGACACUGAGCAAGGCCACCAGCUCGGCUGCAGCGUUGUUAAGGGUCACAGGACGAGUAUCCGGUGGGCAGGAGAGUACUGCCAUGUGACGUCCUGCCCUGACUCUGAGGAAGCUGCAAAAGUUGUGAAGAACCAUCCUGGGAGCCCUUCAAGAAAAAUGGUUCCAAGUCCCUCCAGACCCUGCCCAGGGCUGGCUUGGCCUGAUCCACACACGUGUGGCGUGAGCCACUAUUCUGGCCUGCCUGACUUCAUCAGCCUGUGAACCUGGGCAGGUGUGGGAGGCUGCGUAUGCAUGGGAUGUCUGCACGGAUUGCUAUGGGCAGUUAUGGUUGUGGGUGUACCUGUGAGCACAGGGCUCUGGGAUUCAGCACAGAGGGAGCCCUGGGAUCACCCUGCAUCUCUUGCUGACCUGAGACAUUGGGAAAGUGGAUUGUAAGACAUUCAGCAUCACUCCAAAACAGCCAAGAAAAGAACUCCUAAGUGUUCGCCCAAGUUGAGCAGGGUAAGGAGGACCGUGUUUAACUCCAGGUGGGGACACUGUGUGGACCCCCAACCCCAGUCUUCAGGCCUGGCCCAGGUCGUGUCAGAAGCUAUAGGCUAGCCAAAAGGAGUUGCCAGAUACAGGCAGGGGAGGCCAUCUCCCCUCUGCCCCUGGUUUUUAGUCAGCCAGAGGAGUCCCAGGCCUUAGAGGAGUGGGCUAGAGAGCUGAUUUGAAAACCCUAGAGACAGUGGCGCUCUGUCCCUCCACAUUUCCACAUGGCGCCACAGUGUCCUGAGUGUCUGAUGGCUGUGGCCACCCAAGAGGAGGGUAGAGGAGGGAGGCCAUGUCCUGGAAGGCUGGACUCUACUUUGCUCCAUGUCCCUGGACCACUGUGUUGGGCAGGAAGGGAAGAAAGGUCAGCCCCUCUUCCCACACUGGCUGAAAAAUGAGGAAAUGUGAGCCUCCUCUUUCUUCUGGCUGAGAAUUAGGGCCAGGGUCCUACGUCCUCAGCAACUGGUGUCAAGCCCUCUUGCCCUGAUGUGCUGUGUGGCCCUUUCCCAAUAGUGGUCUCUGAGGGCCACAUCACACAAGCCAGAGCCACCCAAGGCCUUCUGCUGACCCCAACUCCCACCUGGACCUCCGGUUUGGGGUCAGCAGGCAAGGCAGAGGGACUGGACUCCCCUGAGUCUGUGUGGCGAUGCCCAGGCUGAAGCCAUGCCAAAGCACAGCCUAGCACACUCAGAGGGCACGGGGAGGCUCGAAGCCCACAGCACUCCCUCCACCUGUCACUGGCUGGUGGCCCUGGGCUAGCUGGGAGGUGCAGUAACUUUCCCAGAGGCUGGAGACGGGGCACAGUGGGGAGGCCCAGCAGUUGCUUCCUUCUCCUAGGGUCCUGGGCCCAAUCGGGCCUGGGGUCCAGCUCUGAAGGCAGCGUGGCCAAGUUAUCCAGCCUUAGAGGCGGCCGGGUGUGAAGGUCUGGGUGUGAACCCUGCUGCCUGUGAGAAUUGGGCCUCAGCGUCCCCCUCUCUGACACGGACACAGUGGCGCGUAUAGGGUUGACAUGUCUAGCGCGGUGCUGAACACAUGGCAAUGCUGCCCAGAUGGAAGCUUCAAGAAUGUCAAGUGGGGAGGGCUGUUUCUCCCUCCCUCUUCCCAUCCCCACUCCCAAAGCCCAGGCUGGCCCCUAAGGCCAGGCCCCUGUCAUGCUCCAGGCUUGGUGUUCCUUAAAAAUCCACGGAGAAAUCCUCAGGAGGGACUGUGGAGGCUGGGCGGGGCCGUGCUGGGCUCUAGGCACCCGGAGCCAAGAGGAAGACCCGGCCUUGCUUUGACGGACCCCACACACCGAGUGCGUACUGUGUGCCCUGCGCUGGGGCGCGACGAAGAUGCUGGCAGAGACCUCCUGGCUUAGGGAAGGCUUUGUGGCCCCUUGGGGAAUGGUGCCAAGCAGAGGAAUCCCAAGCUGGAAGGUAGUUUCCAGCAGCCCCCAACCCUGUCUCCUGCCCCUGGCCAGGGCACUG